GAUGAACGCUGGCGGCGUGCCUAAUACAUGCAAGUCGAGCGAACGGACGAGAAGCUUGCUUCUCUGAUGUUAGCGGCGGCCGGGUGAGUAACACGUGGAUAACCUACCUAUCCGACUGGGAUAACUUCGGGAAACCGGAGCUACUACCGGAUAAUAUUUUGAAUCGCUCGGUUCAAAAGUGAAAGACGGUCUUGCUUUCACUUAUAGAUGGAUCCGCGCUGCAUUAGCUAGUUGGCAAGGUAACGGCUUACCAAGGCAACGAUGCAUAGCCGCCCUGAGAGGGUGGUCGGCCACACUGGAGCGGAGACACGGUCCAGACUCCUACGGGAGGCAGCAGUAGGGAAUCUUCCGGAAUGGGCGAAAGCCUGACGGAGCAACGCCGCGGGAGGGAUGAAGGUCGUCGGAUCGUAAAACUCUGUUAUUAGGGAAGAACAUAUGUGUAAUUAACUGUGCACAGCUUGACGGUACCUAAUCAGAAAGCCGCGGCUAACUACGUG
rnacentral:rRNA from 1 species